GGGUGAAGAUGUGAUCAUAUAUUUUUUUUCCUCCAGUCCAAAGAGAACCAGAUUUCUCAGAUUGGUUGCAAGAAUGACUUAUUAAAACCUGCACAUAGAGAAGAAGAGCUUUGUCACAGUGGAGGAACUGAGCCAAUAGUUGUUUGUCAAACAAUCCAGACCAUACAUUUAGACUCCUC